rnacentral:rRNA from 1 species
GACGAACCGAGCGAACGUUAUUCGGAAUCACUGGGCGUAAAGGGUGCGUAGGCGGUUCUUUAAGUCAGGGGUGAAAUCCUGGAGCUCAACUCCAGAACUGCCUUUGAUACUGAGGAUCUUGAGUUCGGGAGAGGUGAGUGGAACUGCGAGUGUAGAGGUGAAAUUCGUAGAUAUUCGCAAGAACACCAGUGGCGAAGGCGGCUCACUGGCCCGAUACUGACGCUGAGGCACGAAAGCGUGGGGAGCAAACAGG